rnacentral:rRNA from 1 species
AGAGUUUGAUCCUGGCUCAGGAUGAACGCUAGCGGCAGGCCUAACACAUGCAAGUCGAACGGUAACAGGGUAGCAAUACCGCUGACGAGUGGCGCACGGGUGCGUAACGCGUAUGCAACCUACCUGUAACAGAGGGAUAGCCCCGAGAAAUUGGGAUUAAUACCUCAUAGAAUUGUAGAAUCGCAUGAUUUAGCAAUUAAAGAUUUAUCGGUUACAGAUGGGCAUGCGUAACAUUAGCUAGUUGGUGAGGUAACGGCUCACCAAGGCGACGAUGUUUAGGGGUUCUGAGAGGAUAAUCCCCCACACUGGUACUGAGACACGGACCAGACUCCUACGGGAGGCAGCAGUGAGGAAUAUUGGUCAAUGGACGCAAGUCUGAACCAGCCAUGCCGCGUGCAGGAAUGACGGCCCUACGGGUUGUAAACUGCUUUUGUAAGGGAAGAAACCCAGAUUCGUGAAUUUGGCUGACGGUACCUUACGAAUAAGCAUCGGCUAACUCCGUGCCAGCAGCCGCGGUAAUACGGAGGAUGCAAGCGUUAUCCGGAUUUAUUGGGUUUAAAGGGUGCGCAGGCGGCUUUAUAAGUCAGUGGUGAAAUCUUCUCGCUCAACGGGAAAACUGCCAUUGAUACUGUAGAGCUAGAGUACAGAUGGGGUAGGCGGAAUGUAGCAUGUAGCGGUGAAAUGCUUAGAUAUGCUACAGAACACCGAUCGCGAAGGCAGCUUACCAAGCUGUUACUGACGCUCAGGCACGAAAGCGUGGGUAGCGAACAGGAUUAGAUACCCUGGUAGUCCACGCCGUAAACGAUGAUUACUAGCUGUUGGCGAUAAACUGUCAGUGGCUAAGCGAAAGUGAUAAGUAAUCCACCUGGGGAGUACGAUCGCAAGGUUGAAACUCAAAGGAAUUGACGGGGGCCCGCACAAGCGGAGGAGCAUGUGGUUUAAUUCGAUGAUACGCGAGGAACCUUACCCGGGCUUAAAUGUAGGUUGCAUGAGGUGGAAACACUUCUUCCCUUCGGGGCUACUUACAAGGUGCUGCAUGGUUGUCGUCAGCUCGUGCCGUGAGGUGUCGGGUUAAGUCCCAUAACGAGCGCAACCCUCAUCCUUAGUUGCCAGCGGAUAAUGCCGGGGACUCUAGGGAAACUGCCACCGUAAGGUGAGAGGAAGGUGAGGAUGACGUCAAAUCAGCACGGCCCUUACGUCCGGGGCUACACACGUGCUACAAUGGCCGGUACAAAGGGCAGCUACACCGCGAGGUGAUGCUAAUCUCAAAAGCCGGUCUCAGUUCGGAUCGGAGUCUGCAACUCGACUCCGUGAAGUUGGAUUCGCUAGUAAUCGUAUAUCAGCAAUGAUACGGUGAAUACGUUCCCGGGCCUUGUACACACCGCCCGUCAAGCCAUGGAAGUUGAGGGUACCUAAAGUCCGUAACCGCAAGGAGCGGCCUAGGGUAAAAUCAGUAACUGGGGCUAAGUGGUAACAAGGUAACCAAGGGCGAA